AACGAACGCUGGCGGCAUGCCUAACACAUGCAAGUCGAACGAGAUCUUCGGGUCUAGUGGCGCACGGGUGCGUAACGCGUGGGAAUCUGCCCUUUGGUUCGGAAUAACAGUUGGGAACGACUGCUAAUACCGGAUGAUGACGAAAGUCCAAAGAUUUAUCGCCAGAGGAUGAGCCCGCGUAGGAUUAGCUAGUUGGUGUGGUAAAGGCGCACCAAGGCGACGAUCCUUAGCUGGUCUGAGAGGAUGAUCAGCCACACUGGGACUGAGACACGGGCCAGACUGCUACGGGAGGCAGCAGUGGGGAAUAUUGGACAAUGGGCGAAAGCCUGAUCCAGCAAUGCCGCGUGAGUGAUGAAGGCCUUAGGGUUGUAAAGCUCUUUUACCCGGGAUGAUAAUGACAGUACCGGGAGAAUAAGCUCCGGCUAACUCCGUGCCAGCAGCCGCAGUAACAC
rnacentral:rRNA from 1 species